GGCCGCCGACUUCCUGAGCCCCCUAGGCCGCCGCGGACCCCCCGCCCCGGCGGAGCGCCCCAUCCCCGGGGGCCCGCAGGGACACUGAGGCAGGGAGGGCAGGGGCUCCACUCGCCUGCUCCCUGCUGGGAGCCCCCAGGUGGCUCUCUCACCCUUUCUGGGUCUCAGUUUCCCCUUCUGCCCAGAUGAUGGAAGAGGGGAAAUUGUUGGGUGGAACCCCCCAGUUCCCUCGAGGCACGAAUGAGGACCCCUCUCUUCCACUUAGAAGCGCUUCCCAGUCUAGCCCCACUCCCGGGAAAUCCCACAGCUGCGUGAGGGACACGGGAACCAGGCGCUCGGAGGAGGCGGGGGCCAUUGGAGCUGGGGCUUCGAUGGCUGAGUAGGAGUCUGCCAGUCCGAAAGGGAUGAGUAUUCCCCGCGGAACAAAAGGUGCAAACACCUGGAGGGACCGUCUGGUUGAGAGCCUGCAGAGAUCAGUCAGGUGAGUUCUUUGAGGAUGCUUGAGCGACGGAACUGGGCUGGCCGUGAGCAGGAAAGAGGCCGGAUUUCCAAGACGUGGUACAGAAAAAGAUGUCAAAUACGCCUUCCGUCACUUUUCACAUCGAUCACCUGUUGAAACGGCCGUAUUUUUGAGAUACUGAGUUACGGGAAACCUGUUAGCAAAACUGUUCUCUUUUGGUUCUUUUAAUGUGGCUACUGGGAAGCUGAAA